AGCUUUGAAGAAGAGUAUUGAUCGCUGUUGAAAGAAGCAAACCUUCCCUGCGCGCGCCGCAUUGUGAGUGCGGUCCGGCCCGAUCAAUAGCGCUGUUCGGAGCCGGUGCAGGUAGAGAGAGAGAGGGAGAGGGAGAGAGAUGGGAAAGGAGUGGGAGUAGGGAGGAAUCCCCUGGUGGCAGAGCUAUGAGUGAAAACAGACUCCGUGGUGAAGAUGAGAAAACAAAGAAGACGCAAACUCACGUUCCAAACCGUCCUGCCCAGUUGGGAGGAACUCAGAGCCGCCUGAGUUUCCGAAGACGGAAGUACAACUACAGCGACUGGGACAGGAGGCCGCAUGAGUGCUGGAGGGCUGGCUGGGAUCCCUGGUUCCAGGGACAUCAGUAGGGGGCGCUCCAGUGUGUCGGAGGAGAUAAGAGACUCUGACGGGUCAGCUGGGCCCACGUUCUGCCCCGCAGUGGACAGGAGUCUGGUGAUUCCGCAUGAGGUGGUAAAGUAAAAAAUUCUUUCAACGUGAAAUGAUGCAAAAUCUUCACUACUUCAUAUCAACCUAAAAUUAAAAUCAAAAUGUUCUGAAAACCAGGGCCGCCCUGUGAUGCCUUUAGAAAUCCUCCCCGAAACACGGGAUGUUGUUUUGGAGGAGUUAUUUUUCAAGUUGUAUCUGUAAGACAGCACCUGUUUGGCUUAAGAAGAGUCUGAGGUUAGAAAGCAGGCGGCCUGCGUACUGUGUCUGCUCAUUCUAAUGGUGCUAAUGACAACACACAACGCUGCUCGCGGAUCAAUGGAUCUACAGGCACGCACGUCUGAUGGAAGGUAGACAGAUGUCUGUGACUCCUGUUCCCAAUACUGUUCCAGUGAUCAUAAAAUAAAAAAAUCUCUGGCCCCUUUAGAGCAUUCAUCAGUCAAUAAAGGAUGUCUGAGAACACAGUGACAGCACGGCAGUGUCAGUGGUCUCUUGAAAAAAAUAAAAUAUGUCAUCGG
rnacentral:lncRNA from 1 species